GGAUUGUUCUAUGGAUUAACCUGUUCAGAUUCUUGUAAGGUCAACCAGUUUAGUGAAAUAUACCAUUACGAGAAAGGAAUUAACUUUUUUUGGAUGUUGGAGUUUCAUGUAGAAGUGAUACUUAGUAUAAUUAUAUCAGUUGUAAGCGUGAUAGUACUGAUUCUAGAUGAGAGACAUAAUUGGCCACACAAGCGUCUGGUUACUUCUAUAAUCAUGUUUGUGAUUGCAGGUGUAUUAGUAUUGAUCGGCUGUGGCAGAAUUCUGUAUGCAACAAUAUCAACAAACUAUCACAUGAAGACAAUGAAGCAAAAGUCCGAGUUUUCUUUUUCGUUUUCCUUUUCAUUAGUUCCCGCCAUUUUAGGGGGAAUAUUACUAAUGAUUGCUGCCUUUACCGUAUGCAUCAUAAGAAAGAAUAACAACAACGAAGAUGAUACAGGAAAAGUUGGUUUGAACGACAUUUGGGAGACAAAAGUUGAUUACGUACCACGAAAAUCACAAGGCAGUUUGUCAUAUAAUACAAAAUCCCGCCACGCAGUGUAACAAUUAGCUGUAAUACUUACAUUCAAUGUCUCCAAAGAAAUACACAAUACACAGUUUUACAUUGAAUCUGCAGUAGGUAUGUUAAUGUAAAAUUUUGAAAUAGGUAUUUUAAGUCAUCAGACACUAUAUCUUAUGAUUAGAAUUUGAAUAGUUUUUUUGUGAUAAAAUAAGUAUAUUAUGUGAUUACACUAUGCCUUAUAUCUGUAGAAUUUAAAUAGUUCACUUUGUUACUAAAAUGAGUAUAUAAUGUCUUGCACCUGUAGAAUGAAUGAAGGAAUGAAUAAAUAAUUUAUUAAAGUGAAACCUGAAUUGACAUAAUAUAAUAUACAAAAGUUAUGCUCAUUUAUAUUUUCAGCCAGCCAUAUAGGCUUACGAAGCACAGUCAUUUUGAAACAAAAUUAUUCAUGUAGCUACAUUUGAAUUGAUAUGAAAAAUGAAGUUUUACAGGUUUUACGUCGUGUGGUUUUGAUAAGUAAUUAAUAUAGUGUGUUUUGAACCUGUAGAAUUUAAAUAGUUUACUGUGUUAAAAUAAGUGUAGUAUGUAUUGAACCUGUAGAAUUUAAAUAGUAUACUUUGUUACUAAAAUAAGUAUGUUAUGUCCUGCACCUGUUUGGUUUUUUUUUAUCUUUAUUCAAAUAUUCAACAUUUAUGUACAAUAAUUAUAUUACAUAUUACACAAGAAUAUUCGCAAUACAAUGUUUAAAAUUUAAUGAAAUAUAAUAAUAUUAUUGUGUUGA